rnacentral:lncRNA from 1 species
CUGGAUUCCAUUCCGUCUUCCUUGAGGGCCCCACCCUCAUCCCGGCACGUGAUGACGUAGGACGUAAGGACGCCCCCCCCCGCCGGUAGCCAUCUUCGUGCAUAGGCAAACUUAUUGUAGCUAGACUGUACAAAGUAUAUCAAGAUAUGCCAAAUAUUGAGCUUAACUUCACCUGUUUGAGAGACGCUUGCAACACCAUGAAAAAAUUACUGAGACACUAGGAAUGCUGUGAACUGAGAAAGUUUGGGACCUUUGGCAUAACUAAAUCCUUCAUUUAACAGUGUUGUGAACCACUUGUCAUGGGAUAACCAAAAUUAAACCUGGAAUCGCAGAAGAAACAAAUUUUUUGAAGAAAUUGGAUGUACUUUUUUAAAAUUUUUCAUUCAACUAAAACUUUGUUAACUGUUUCUUGGUUGUGGUCUUCUCUAAAUUGUAAUCUUUGGCAUUCACUUCCAAAGUAUCCACCACUAAACUUCAUAACAUUUAUUGUGUCUCUUCAUCAUUAAACUUUGAUGAAUUUACAGAGUGUCUUUUGAAAUUAUGUUCUUGAGAAAGCCAGGGGAUUGGACGGUGUCAUGGAAAUGUCAAAGAAAAAGUGACACCUGAGAGAAAAUUUGAAAGAUGAAAGUGCUGUUAAUACGGAAACUGGUCUAAUAUGGAAAACAGGUGAACAUGGAGCUGCUUUGUUUGACUCAGGGAUGAGAGAUACCCAGGUCCUAAUUACUUGUCUUUAACUUUCCUUAGGGAGUACUAAUUUGGGAGUCAUUGUUCUAAACAAUUAAAGUGAAGUAACUGUCCUGUUUUUCUCUUUUACCCUUGUGAACGAGGAAGCUCAGGGUUAAAGUCUAUGUCUUUACUUAUACAUUUCUGUGUUGUAGGAUCUUUUAAUAAAGAUUUUCUCCUUUUACUUUUGUAUGUCAUUAGCCCAUCUGUACUUACCGUGCAAACUGCCUCAAAUCUAUUAAGUUUAUUGCAUGUACAUUAAUCACUCAGCCUCUCAAUUUGAUGAAAAUAGACUCUCCGUUACCAUUUCCCCAACAAUUUAAGGCUGUCCCAGUCCUCUGCUGCAGCUUCCCAUUAAGUACAUGCUCAGCAAGAACUAGGGAAUGAUGUAAGGCAAACAGACCUCUCUACAUCUUUAAUAGUCACAGGUGGAUUCUGGCAUCAGAAAUGAAAAUAU